rnacentral:lncRNA from 1 species
AGCAAGCAUAGAGAGGGGUGGCUUGGCCUUAGGAGCUUGCGCCAUGGGAAGGUUUUAAGCAGGAAGAUGAUAGGGCCUGGGCCACAGGUUAGAGAGAUCACACACCCUUUGACCAACAUUAGAGAGAAAAUAAAUGGAAAAGAUGUGGUUGGAACCCAGCAGACUCAGCAAACAAGGCCUACAUUCUUCCAAUUUCUCUGCCUCCUGAGGAACAGUUCCUUUCUUGGCCACAGGAAGCAUAUUUCAGCAUGGAAACUCCUAGGCAGGCUCGUCAGUGAUCUUUCUUCUUACUGCCUCUUGUUUUCGUUGCAUCCUUUCUCUUAUCAGCCAUGCCUCUGUGAGGCACAUCCCCUGUUACUGAUGUUCAAACCGUCUGGACUGUACCCUGCUAGACCAAGGAUGCCCUGGAAGAGGACGCGGCUUGCUGAUGUUAAGACAUGUCUGCCGACAGAAUGUGGAGCUGGACAGGGGCUACUGCAGCAGAAUACCAAGGAACCACCAAAGGAAGACAGCAAAGAGCCUCUGCUCGUCACACGCACUGGGGCUCGGGCUGGAAUAGCAGCUGCCAUCUUGACCCUUGGCAUUGCCCACAUCAGAGGGAAGCAGAACCCUGGGGUGGCCUUGUGCCUGCAAUUCGAUGCUCAGCCUGAAGGAAGUGAUUUCUGUUAGUUGUGUUCAACCCAUUGCCCAGAACUAGUCAAUGGCUUCACCAGCUAUGAAGACACUAGGCAGUGUGGGUCUACCAUGUGCACAGGAGGUGGGAACCCACAAAGGUUUGGUGAGCAGCUCUGCUGGGUACCACAGUGCACUUUGUGCCUAGCAGAGCAUAGCAGGGAAUAGGGGAUGAGAACAUUUUUGUUGAAGGUGGUUUCCUGCCCUACCAGUCUAACCAAGCAGCCCUUAACAAGGUUCCAAUGGCCUCUGUCUUGCUCUGUCUCCUGGGCGCUCCUAGCCCUCAUCUGCCUCAACCUUGCUGGUUAUUCCAUACCCUUUGUAAGAUCCUCUUGGCUUGAGGACACGAUGCUUCCCUGAUUCCCUUCCUCCCCCUGCGUCACUGCUUCCUUGGAUCCUAUGCAACUUUUUCUCCCCUUGCUGGACCUCAUUUUGGGUUUCUCAGACCCUGGGCCUAUAUCUUCAGCAGAACUCAUCCACCCCUUCCCUUGAACUUUCCCUUCAAUGGAGGUGACUUCCUUGUUUUUUUUUUUUUUUUUUUGAGCUUUGAGUUCAUGAGUUUCACAGACUACUUGGUAGCUUCUCAAUAAUAUCUCAACAUCACCUCAAAUAUAUUACACUGAAAACCAAAGCUGUGACCUUUCUCCUUCCACUCCGGUCUCUAAAGCCCUAUUUCUGGGCUCCUGUCUCUCACUGAAUGACAUUGCCCACCUACUCACACAGUCCAGAGACCCAAGAGUCCCUUUCCACGUUGUGUUCUCCCAUGGGCUUCCAUGUUUAAAUGCCAAGUCCCCGCGACUUAGCGUCCGUACCUCUCAAGUCCACACAGCCCACCAUCUCCAGCUCGGACACUGUCUCCAUUCCUCUCCCAUCUCCAUCACUGGUCCAUGCGGACACCUUGUCCCCCUUGAAUGCUGUAAGCUCCCUCGGGCCUCCUUGUCCAUUCCAGCUGCAGCCGCCGGCUCUCUAGGCGACAGCCGGGGGGAUCUAUUCCCAGUGCGAAUCUGACUCAUGCUCCUCCAUCACAAAACACUUCAGUGGCCUGGCAGAAUCUUCAGUCUCCAGUGCUGUGCUGGCUCCCUGCCGUGGUCACUGCUCAGGACCUGCGCGUGGCGUCCACAGAGCAGCUCUUCGGAGUAUUUUUAGGCUUCCCAGGGACUGACCACAGCAGAUGUGGGGAGAAGGGCCGCUCGCCAGAGCAGAUAGACAGACCCCUUUCAAGCCACCUUCCUGUCAUCCAGCGAGCUCCCUGAGCGAGGCAGGGGAGGUCCCCAUGGGGUUGGUUCUAUUUCUGGGGGUGAGGGUGAAUCAGUUGUGUCUGAGGACACCAUCAGGAACCACGACAGUCAUUUCUUUCUUUGUGGCUUUGAGGUCUGGGUGGGGAGGGGCUGGGAUCCUGAGACCCCUGGGGCCCACAGUGGAAAGACGAACUGAUUGCAAGUGAGUAUGGGGGAGACUCUGGGGGCCCCAAGGGUGGCUGGUGUUCUCUGGCUUUGUACCCCCCGCAGCCUCACCCACGCACACCUCCUAACUCAUGAGGAAGCUGCUCUCCUUGUCUCUGUGUCACAGAUGAGGAAGCCAAAGCUCAGAGAGUUUAAGGGUUGGACCCAGGUUCUCACAACUGUCCAGUGACGUAGCUACGACUCAUGGCUACACCCCCCAAUUCCCAAAGCCAGCAUCUCCACCCGCUUCCAUGUUUACCCUCUCCCUCGUCUCCGAGGAACCAUGAGGCCAGGGAGGACAGCAAGUGGGAGGUCCUGGCCAGGAAGCAUAGGGCAGUGCUGGGGCCCAGAGACCAGCAAAGGUGGAAGCUGCCCCCCACCCUGUCCUGAAGGGGCAGGGAGAGAGCAUUACUGGGGACCACAGUGACAGAAGAGCUCGGGUACAAGCAGGAAGCUCAUGGAAGAUGCAGACCUAGUCAGAUGCAUGGGCUCCUCUCCUGCUGGAUCC